rnacentral:rRNA from 1 species
AUUGAACGCUGGCGGCAUGCUUUACACAUGCAAGUCGAACGGUAGAGGGGGCAACCCCUUGAGAGUGGCGAACGGGUGAGUAAUGUAUCGGAACGUGCCCAGUCGUGGGGGAUAACGUAGUGAAAAUUACGCUAAUACCGCAUACGAUCUAUGGAUGAAAGCGGGGGAUCGCAAGACCUCGCGCGAUUGGAGCGGCCGAUAUCAGAUUAGGUAGUUCGUGGGGUAAAGGCCCACCAAGCCAACGAUCUGUAGCUGGUCUGAGAGGACGACCAGCCACACUGGAACUGAGACACGGUCCAGACUCCUACGGGAGGCAGCAGUGGGGAAUUUUGGACAAUGGGCGAAAGCCUGAUCCAGCCAUUCCGCGUGCAGGAUGAAGGCCCUCGGGUUGUAAACUGCUUUUGUACAGAACGAAAAGGUUUCUACUAAUACUAGGAGCUCAUGACGGUACUGUAAGAAUAAGCACCGGCUAACUACGUGCCAGCAGCCGCCGUAA